CUUGAGUGUGCCCACCAGCAGAGGACGGUCCUCGGGCCGCCCCUGGCCGUACACGGCCAGCAACGCUUCGGCCUC
rnacentral:antisense_RNA from 1 species